rnacentral:rRNA from 1 species
UGCAAGUCGAACGAAGUAGCAAUACUUAGUGGCAGACGGGUGAGUAACAUGUAGGUAUCUACCCUUUGGUGAGGAAUAACACGAGGAAACUUGUGCUAAUACCUCAUAAGUCUUUACGGAGAAAGCUUUAUGCGCCGAAGGAUGAGCCUGCACUUGAUUAGUUUGUUGGUGGGGUAAUGGCCUACCAAGACUUUGAUCUAUAGCUGAUCUGAGAGGAUGAUCAGCCACAUUGGGACUGAGACACGGCCCAAACUCCUACGGGAGGCAGCAGUAGGGAAUAUUGCACAAUGGAGGAAACUCUGAUGCAGCGAUGCCGCGUGAGUGAAGAAGGCCUUUGGGUUGUAAAGCUCUUUCGUCGGGGAAGAAAAUGACUGUACCCGAAUAAGGAUCGG